AACAAUUCUUGGCUUUGACCAAGAAAAAAUUCAAAGGGAAGCCAGAAGCAGAAAAAAAACCAGCUUUAUUGCAGUAGCAGUGUUACAACUCCCUGACUGCUCCUGCAGAGCAAGUCUACCACACAGGCAGAGAGCAGCAGCUCAGGGCAGUUUUGCAGUCAUAUUUAUACCUACUCUUAAUUACAUGCAGAUUAAGGAGUGGUUUGUGCAGUAAUUUCUAGGGAAAGAGGAGUAACUUUGGAGACGUGAAGUCAUUGCCUUGGAAAGGGGCAGUAACUCCCUGGUGUUGCCAUGGCAGUGGUAGAACUGACACGGCACAUUGGUGGGCGUGUCUGAUGGAAAACUGCUUCCAUCUCUCUCUGUUUCAGAUGGUCCUCAAUUUGGUCCAGUGUCUGAGCUCUGCCUCUAGUCAAGUCUUGCCUCCUGAGUCAAGUUUGGCCUCCUACCUCAAAUUUGUCUAUUUAUAUCUUGAUAAGCUGUACAGGAAGCAUGGAUGGGGAGGCCUCAGGAAACUUACAAUCAUGGUGGAAGGCGAAGGAGAAGCAGCACAUCUUCACAUGGCCAAAGCAGGAAGAAGAGAGAGAGAUUGGAGGUGAAAUAACAAAUCCUGGGAUUUUCUAGGAGUCUUCACAGAAAUUCUACAUAAAAGGACAUAAGAAAAUUACAGACAAAUGCCACCAGGCUUUGCUCAGCAGGUAUAUAAGGAAAGCCAGUGUCCUUAGUGCUUAGGAGAUGACAAUGGCAAAUGAAGCUCUCAGGUAAGAAAUGUUGUUGAAGUGACAAUUUGUGGAUUCUUAUUAAAAUGGGAUCAGUAAUAGUGAUGAGAAGGGAAAUAGCAUCACUUAUUACCCUAUUAUUUAGCAACCAGCGAUUUCAAGUUAGUUUCAACUUAAUGAUAGGUUUAUCAGGAAAUAGCCCCAUUAUAAGUAAGCAUCUGUAUAUGUAUUCAAUAUUUUACUUAAAUAUGGAUCCUGAUUAUCACCUCAAAUUGAU
rnacentral:lncRNA from 13 species